GCUGCCUUUUGAUAACCCUCAGCCCAGGGUGGCUGGGAGGAUUGGAGAUCGUGCCCGGCACAUAAUAAGCGCUCCUCUAUUAGUGAUUAUUAGCUCUCAAUGCAAUUAGGUCCUGGACGAGACACAAGGACAAAUAAGACACAGUUUCAGUUUCGCUCAUUUGCUCACUGAAAAUUCACCUGAGGUAAUGGCCCUGUGCUUGGUGUUGGGCAUAAUAAUAAUUCUUAUUGUAGGUCAUAUUUAUUGAGCUCUUAUUCCGUGCUCAGCACUGUUCCAGGCACUUAUCUAUAUAUUAUAGCACAGAUCACAGCUGUGUGAGCGAUGCACUACGACUGCUCUAUUUCAUCGGGGAGGAAAUUCCGAUGAGAGGUUAGGCAGCUUGCUGAGCUCCCAUAGCCAGAAGGUGGCCGUGCUGGGAUGCACACCCAGGUCCGAGGCCCCCCUUCACUACACGCGUCAGAGACAAGCAUGUCUUUGCUGCUCCAGAGUCAUGGUCUAGUGGGUGGUGAUGGUGGCACUGUGGGGUGCAGGGUCUUCGGGGAGGACUCCAGGGCAGCUUGCCCAAAUUCGUUCCUUGGGUAGUCAUGGUCACCUGGUGGCACCCAAGGAAGUGGGUCCUGGUCCAGGAGUCCCCUGCUGGCUGAGGCUGGCGUUCAAGCAGAUACAUCCUCUCACCCAGGGCCCCAGGAAGGUCAGGCACACUCAGGAGGCGGAGUCUCGAGCUGUCCUGUCCUUGUUCCUUGGACAGACCCAAGUGUCCCAGCUUCCUCCCAGGGCUGGCUGCCUUCUAGUCUCCUCUCCCUUCUCGGGUUCCUCCUCCCCAAGCCUGGCCUGCAAUUCCUAGACCUCUCUCUCUCUCACUCCUCUCCUGCUGUUUCCCUGCGCCCACAGAGGGAGGCAUACUUUGCGCGGCUGCGCAGGGCUCACCAGAACCGCACGUCCCUCUCCGAGGAGCAGUUGCGGGUAGCUGUGACUACUGGGAGGAUCCCAGGACCCCCAGAGGGCAGGGGCCGGGCACAGCCGCUCUCGCAGGUGGACGAGGCCCAGAGGAGGAUGGACGCUGAGAUCUGGCAGCUCCUUUCCAGCUUUGCUGCCCAACCUCACCCCCCUGCCCCCGGGCUCCUGCCCUAUCCCCAGCCUGCAGCUGCUCUGCGAGCAGUUUCCUCCUCCUCCUCCUCCUCCUCCUCCUCCUCCUCCUCCUCCUCCUCCUCCUCCGCUUCCGCCUCCGCUCCUCUGUCUUCCAUAGGCUCACAGGUAUGUGCCAAGGCACCCACCAAAGACCCACACACACCAUGUUUUCUAGACGCUGGUUCUGAACCAACUUCACAAUUUCUGGUGUUUCCACACGCUGCCUGGAUUAGUAUUUAGUUCAGAUUUUCCUUUAAAUCUAUCAUGUAAUAUCUCAGUUAUGCUAGCUAUGCAUUUUUAAGUACGCUUUAAGCCUGCCAUUGCAUUUAAAAACUUUCUGGUGUGCUGCGUCUGUCACCUUGGGGUCCACAGGAGGCCCAGACCCAAACCAUGCCCAGUGAGAGCAGUUGGGGUGUUUGUUCCAGACAGGGGAAGCAAGUUGUCCAAAAGCAGGGUUGGGACCUCGGUGGUGGGGUGUGGGGCUCUGUCCCUCGGUCCUCAUGCCCCGCCCCUACCCCCUCAGCUCUCACUGCCUGUCCUUCUGUCCUAGUUCUCUCUCUCCUACGAAGGCUUCUCUCUGCUUCCUGGAAGCCUCUAUUAUUGGCAGCUGCCCCAAGCCUUCCUGGGGAACAAGGUAACAGGGAGCUGGGAGUGUUCGGGGUGUCAUCGAAUCCUGAAAUUCCAGAGGGCCCUUUGUCAAAGCCCUUCAUGAUCUAAUGGGUAGACCAAGGCCCAGAGCGGGGAAGGGACUUGCCUGAGGUUCCACGUUUAGGUCAGAGUAGCUGAGGUUGCACCCAGCUCAGCACUUGCUCUUCAGUGGCCACAGGCCCCUGGCAGAGGGGCUGUCUUGCCUUAAAGGGAGACUCCCCUCCUUUAGGCUCCCUUUACCCUGCGCCACUGAACUAGCUCCUGGCACUACGUUCCUUCAUUCAAGAAGCAUUGGUUAAGUACUCACCGUGCGCCGUGGCUGUAUUGCAGAAGAGCGAAGACCCCGGCCUCCCAGCGCUCACUGUUGGUCUGAUUAUCCUUCCUGUUCUCAGCACCAGCAGCAUUAUUAUUAACUUUAGUGUUAUAUCGGCAUCAUCUCCAUCUUAUUCCAAAAAUGACUUAGAGUCGUCUAAAGCAGCGGUCGCCAACCUUUCGGACCUCACGGACCACAUAGUGGUCCAUGGACCACCGGCUGGCGACCGCUGUUCUAGAGAAGACACAUAAUUCGUAAUAAAAGAACACACAGAGAGCAGCAGACAAGAAAGCUGGGCCCAGGGGAAUGAGGACGGGGAAGCCCUGCCGAAGCCACGGGCGGAGCUGGACGUGGUGGGGACGGCAGCCCUGGGGCUGGGUGUCGCAGGCACCAUGCUGAGUGCCGUGUUUUAUGUGGCCCGUGGCACUCAGGCCUCAUGCUGUUCUCCCAGCGGGGCGUUAUUUUCACUCCCACUUCCAUAGGAGGCACGUAAGACUCAGAGCUUAAGGGGCUUGUCCAAGGCCGUCCAGUCAGUAGAUCUGGAUUUGAACCCUGGUCUCAGACGGCGGAGUCUGCUCCCUUAGCCACUCUGCUGCACAGGCCUGCAGCUUGAUCCUGAACAUGGCAACGAACUUGCUGGCAUCCAGAGCAAACAGAAAACUAUAGUCGUGUCUUGGUUAGCUGGUGAUGGCCCUGACCUUCUCACCUCACCCUGAGCUUGUGGAGAACAUCCUCAGGGACCGGCAUGUUGUCCGGAGACAUUGAAUACAUGCUCACAACCCAACGAACAAACCAGUGAACAAAUGGGCUAGGCGUGAUGCGCUGUGGUGUUGGUUUGAGCAUCCGCCCUGAUGGCAGAGGACAGGAAGGGACGUCCUGUGGGCGGAGCGGCGGCUCUGGCUGCCCACAUGAAAGCCUUCGGUGACAGAACUGAGGGCCGUUUCACUGUGAGCCACAGAGAACCUCAGUCGCACUGGCUUGUCGGCAACAAAGAAAGGAAUCUGUUGGCUCAGCUAGUUCCAGAGUCCAAGGGCGUCUGGUACCAGGCAUGGCUGGGCCCAGGGGGUCACUGGGACUUCGUCUCAGUUGGUGUCCUCCUCUGGCCUCCAGGAUGGCUGGUAAAGGAAGUUUCUCUGUUCCAGUAGAAAGAGCAGAUGACCCGAAACCGGUUUGGCUCAGUGGAUAGAGUGUCAGCCUGCGGACUGGAGGGUCCCAGGUUU